rnacentral:rRNA from 1 species
GAUGAACGCUGGCGGCGUGCCUAAUACAUGCAAGUCGAGCGAACAGACGAGGAGCUUGCUCCUCUGACGUUAGCGGCGGACGGGUGAGUAACACGUGGAUAACCUACCUAUAAGACUGGGAUAACUUCGGGAAACCGGAGCUAAUACCGGAUAAUAUAUUGAACCGCAUGGUUCAAUAGUGAAAGACGGUUUUGCUGUCACUUAUAGAUGGAUCCGCGCCGCAUUAGCUAGUUGGUAAGGUAACGGCUUACCAAGGCAACGAUGCGUAGCCGACCUGAGAGGGGGAUAGGCGACACUGGAACUGAGACACGGUCCAGACUCCUACGGGAGGCAGCAGUAGGGAAUGUUCCGCAAUGGGCGAAAGCUUGACGGAGCAACGCCGCGUGAGUGAUGAAGGUCUUCGGAUCGUAAAACUCUGUUAUUAGGGAAGAACAAAUGUGUAAGUAACUAUGCACGUCUUGACGGUACCUAAUCAGAAAGCCACGGCUAACUACGUG